CUUUUGCAGAAGGCUGUCUCCUGAGAGGACUACAAGUUGAGCCAAGUUAUAGCUAACCCACAACAGCAGAUGGUAAGGACCAGGGCAGGAGGAGGACUCCUGAAGCGUCCGAAGGAAGGAAAUCAUUACAGAGCCCUACAGAAGUAGGUCAUGUGCUACAGCUGCUCAUAGUUUAAGAGGAAGAAACAUUGGAGCUCAAACCUGGAAUAUGACUCUUUCAAAAUGUUUGUGACCAGCCCAAGAAAAACAUCCUCCUGAGCCUUAUCUAAUAAGCAUGAUCUUUAAUCGUCUCAGUGUGUGCUUGGGUUCCUUUAGCAGUUUACACCUACUUCCCAGGGCUCAGAGAGGCCGGGACAGAACACAGAGAGAUAUAAUGAAAGGGAUUUAAUCGUUUGUGUUAAAGCUAAUAUGGUCCAUUAGGAGCUGUCAUUUUUAUAAACAAUGAAGAUAUGUUACCCUCUUCUCUGGUGUAAAGUCAUUCCAUGCAGGACCUGUAAACAUUCAGUAAUGAUCCGUGGAACACGCAUGAGUGACAAUUAAAGCACCGCUUGGAAAGUCGGGUUCCCCUCACAUAUUUGGUUUCUUGCUAAAUAAACUCAUAAAGAUCA